rnacentral:rRNA from 1 species
UACGAAGGGGGCUAGCGUUGCUCGGAAUUACUGGGCGUAAAGAGUGCGUAGGCGGUGUUCCAAGUCUGUUGUGAAAUCUCCCGGCUUAACUGGGAGGGUGCGGCGGAAACUGGAAUGCUGGAGUGUGGGAGAGGUAAGCGGAAUUCCCGGUGUAGCGGUGAAAUGCGUAGAUAUCGGGGAGGAACACCUGCGGUGUAGACGGCUUACUGGACCAUAACUGACGCUGAGGCACGAAAGCGUGGGUAGCAAACAGG